AGGAAGUAGUUUUUACCGCAGUUAGACGAAGCAAGCAAGCUAAAUUAACCAUAAAAACAAUUAUCACUCGCAUUUUUAAGCAUUGCCCUGCGAUGGACCGGUGACCCGUCCAAGCGGAUCCCGUCCAGGCGGAUCCCGUCCAGUCCAGGCGGAUCCCGCCUCUCGCCCGAAACGUUCCCUGGAGAGGAGGCACCCUCACUCCUCCCGACCCCACUAGGGACGAGGGUGUACAGGAAAAGGAUGGAUGUAUUCUUUAACAUUUCCCAACAUGGUCCCAUGAAUUAUGGAAAUGGGGAACGGAAACUGAAGGAAGUUGCUGAGCCGAGGUUUUCUGGAUGAACUGGAUGCACAAAAAAUCCAAACAAAUCAUGCUGGGUUUUGGCUUCGGAGUGGCCUCUUUGCACCGGGGGCGUGAAGGGCGCGAGGAUCUGACAGCGGCAACGCAGACAAAGGCUGGAACGAAGGCAAACCGCACAAACACAGGGAGGUUAGAUGAGCUUUGACAUGUGACCUUUUCUGGAAUCAUGUGAUCAUGCAUAUUUAUGUUUAAUGAAAACAUUACAUGACUCAAAAUGUGGAGACUUUUUUAUUUAAAGUUUAAUCUGAACACAAUUACGAAGAACAGCAGAGGUUAAAUGUGAUGUAAGGUGUUUUUUUUGUCUCUUUUAUAGCUCAGUUUGAAGACUUUUCUUCUAAGUUGUUUAUUUUUUGGUAACCAAUGUCACUCUGUUGGCUUUUUAACAAAAUAGUUACA